ACCCGCUGAAUUUAAGCAUAUAAGUAAGCGGAGGAUAAGAAACUAAAUAGGAUUCCCUCAGUAAUGGCGAAUGAACAGGGAUGAGCUCAGCAUGGAAAUCGGGGCCUGUGGCCUUGAAUUGUAGUCUCGAGAAGCAUUGCCAACGGAGGCGCAGAUGUAAGCCUCUUGGAAAAGAGCAUCAACGAGGGUGAGAGUCCCGUUUGUCAUCUGCAGUCCCCCGUGCACGGUGUGCUUUCUAAAGAGUCACGUUCCUCGGGAUUGGAGCGCAAAGUGGGUGGUAAAUUUCAUCUAAAGCUAAAUAUAGGUUCGAGACCGAUAGCAAACAAGUACCAUGAGGGAAAGGUGAAAAGGACUUUGAAAAGAGAGUUAAAAGUGCCUGAAAUUGCUGAAUGGGAAGCGAAUGGAACCAGUGUUGCUUGGCAAGAUUGGUGCGUGCUAAUGUGAUUGCCUGCUGCCUCAGCGCAAGCGUGGUAGUGGGUUUUGAUCAGGACGUGCGUGUUGUUUCUUGCCUUGUGUGUCAACGUCAGUUCUCAAUCGAGGAAAACGCCAGGGACAUGGUAGUCUGGCUACGGCUGGGUGAAUGUGCUUGGUUGAACUCAUUUGUGAACUGUUUCCUGCGUGUCUGGUUGCAGUGCUCUCUGUCCUUGGGGCUCCAAUGUGGACUUCGGUCUGCUUGGGCGCCCUGGGCGACUAGGGUAUCUCCCUGACACAACGACGAUGACUAAAUGGUUCUAUUCGACCCGUCUUGAAAC
rnacentral:rRNA from 1 species